rnacentral:rRNA from 1 species
UACGGAGGGUGCAAGCGUUAUCCGGAUUCACUGGGUUUAAAGGGUGCGGAGGUGGGUUGAUAAGUCAGUGGUGAAAUCCCCGAGCUUAACUUGGGAACUGCCAUUGAUACUAUUGAUCUUGAAUACCGUGGAGGUCAGCGGAAUAUGUCAUGUAGCGGUGAAAUGCUUAGAUAUGACAUAGAACACCAAUUGCGAAGGCAGCUGGCUACGCGAAUAUUGACACUGAUGCACGAAAGCGUGGGGAUCAAACAGG